UACGGGGGGGGCAAGCGUUGUUCGGAAUUACUGGGCGUAAAGGGCGCGUAGGCGGGUGGACAAGUCUCUCGUGAAAGCCCACGGCUCAACCGUGGAAUUGCGGGAGAUACUGUCUGUCUUGAGUCCGGGAGAGGAGGGUGGAAUUCCCAGUGUAGCGGUGAAAUGCGUAGAUAUUGGGAGGAACACCGGUGGCGAAGGCGGCCAUCUGGACCGGCACUGACGCUGAGGUGCGAAAGCUAGGGUAGCAAACGGG
rnacentral:rRNA from 1 species